AAGUGUUAGGGCCCUUUUAGACUUUGUCUAGCAGGCUUUCUGGUUUUUGUUGGAAAGCCCUC
ensembl:snRNA U7 U7 small nuclear RNA